AGAGUUUGAUCAUGGCUCAGAAUGAACGCUGGCGGCGUGCUUAACACAUGCAAGUCGAGCGCGAAAGCACCCUUCGGGGUGUGAGUAGAGCGGCGGACGGGUGAGUAACGCGUGGGUGACCUACCCUUGAGAGGGGGAUAACCCAGGGAAACUUGGGCUAAUACCCUAUAUGCCUUUAAGUCUUAAGACUGCAAGGGAAAUAUUUAUAGCUCGAAGAUUGGCCUGUACGGUAUCAGCUUGUUGGUGAGGUAAUGGCUCACCAAGGCUAUGACAUCUAACUGGUUUGAGAGGAUGAUCAGUCACACUGGAACUGAGACACGGUCCAGACUCCUACGGGAGGCAGCAGUGGGGAAUAUUGCACAAUGGACGAAAGUCUGAUGCAGCAACGCCGCGUGGAGGAUGACACAUUUCGGUGCGUAAACUCCUUUUAUAUAGGAAGAUAAUGACGGUACUAUAUGAAUAAGCACCGGCUAACUCCGUGCCAGCAGCCGCGGUAAUACGGAGGGUGCAAGCGUUACUCGGAAUCACUGGGCGUAAAGAGCGUGUAGGCGGGUUAUUAAGUCAGAUGUGAAAGCCAAUGGCUCAACCAUUGAACUGCAUUUGAAACUGGUAACCUAGAAUAUGGGAGAGGUAGAUGGAAUUUCUGGUGUAGGGGUAAAAUCCGUAGAGAUCAGAAGAAUACCGAUUGCGAAGGCGAUCUACUGGAACAUUAUUGACGCUGAGACGCG
rnacentral:rRNA from 1 species